GCCCACUACCAAAUCACUCGGAAAGCGCCCGACCUCCUUCGACCUCGGAAGCUAAGGUGGGUUCAGUCUGGACAGUGCUCGGAUGGGUGACCACCGUGUACAAACAAGUUGCUAUAGGCG
rnacentral:rRNA from 1 species